rnacentral:rRNA from 1 species
UACGUAGGGUGCAAGCGUUAAUCGGGAUUACUGGGCGUAAAGCGUGCGCAGGCGGUUGUGCAAGACCGAUGUGAAAUCCCCGGGCUUAACCUGGGAAUGGCAUUGGUGACUGCACGGCUAGAGUGUGUCAGAGGGGGGUAGAAUUCCACGUGUAGCAGUGAAAUGCGUAGAGAUGUGGAGGAAUACCGGUGGCGAAGGCAGCCCCCUGGGAUAACACUGACGCUCAUGCACGAAAGCGUGGGGAGCAAACAGG